rnacentral:lncRNA from 13 species
CUUUGGAGAUAAGUCAUAAAAGCUUCAUCAGCUUCCUGCUCGAUCUCUCUCUCUGUUGCCCUAUGGAAAGACUCACCUGCCAAUCAACUGAAGCCUCCAGCCUCCAGCCCUGUGAAUUAGCUCCUUGGACACACAGGUUCUUGGCUUUUCUCUCUUUGUGAAAGCUCACAGUGCCUCUCAUCUCAACUCAAAUGAUUAUCUGAUGCUUCUCAACGACACGCAAAAAGUCAUUCUUCCUGAGAACAACAGCCUUCCCAAGCCACACACUGGCUCUCUGUGGCUGGUGUUCAGCUUCGACUUAGCAGGUCCUUUCCCAGACAUGGCAGGAAAAUGCCCUCCUAAGAGGACGAAGAAGGGCAAGCUGCCCGGCAGGACACAAGGUCUUUGUUGAAACUUUUCAACGCCAGUGCUGUGAAUUGAAGUCAGCUGUAGGAGACAUGUCUCUCCAUGGGUAUGGCUGCUGUCCUGUAAAACUCCACUUACAAAGGUGGGUGAUGUGCUGGCUUUGGCCUCCAGUGUGCAGUUUGCUAAGAGUGACCUAGAAGAAAAAGCCCCAACUUUUCCUUUCAGCCAUUUCUUCCCAGUGUGCUUGAUCUGUCCACAACCACUUUGGUUCCAAGCAUACGGGGACCUUCAGGAUUCAUUCCUUCGUCCCCUUGAUUCCACUCACGUGCCACAUGUGUAGCAAUAGUCAUCAGAAAUGGCCUUGGUUUCAGGUCAAGCCUCUGUCAAUGUGACAUAAGCAGUCCUCAGAGUGAAAAUCUGGGGAACUGUUUCAACAGCUAGGUUCUGGCCUUACUUCCACAGGCUCCAGUCAGUAUCUUUCUCCGUAGCAUCCAUCCACUAGUUCCCUUUUGAAUGUCUUGCAAGUCGCCUCUUACGUGUAAAACGGUUUCCCCAGUGCGGUGGAAGGUGUUGCAUAGCAGAAGCUAGCCCGCUGCGCUGUGUGUGAGAAGCAGCCCUUGGUGGGGAAAAUCCAGCACAGUUCUUCACUUUAUCAUUAACUGAGCUUCUCCUUGAAGCUAAUUUGAAUUCAUGUAACCGGCUUCUUUACUGAAAGCCAGACUGGAGCUGUGUGGCGGAUCCACGCUCUGAAACCAAAAAAUGCUGAAGAGCAAUGACUUCUUUCUGGUUACUGAUGGAACCUUCCAGCCAUUGUCAGAAAGCUUCUAACACUUUAUGUCUGCCAGUUACGAUGAGGUGUGAGGAGGAGGCAGAGGCUGGCUGGAGAAGAGGACUCUGCGCACCGUGAUCCUGCUUCAGUACCACGGAGCUUAGCCUCAUGUGGGUGUGACAUUUGCUCUUGCAUUUACCUUUCGGUAUAACUUGAAGGUGUCUGAGAAACCACAAGAACUUAGGCACCUUGUUUCAUGAGUUGCAAAGCCUGCCCUGCAUCCUCUGAGGUGCGUCUCUUGGUAAAACCAACAGAUGUUUCGCAUAGAUGGCAGGGUAAAGGGAAACAGCGCUGUGUGAAAUAGGCUUGCAGUUCUGUUCUUCCCUUCCAGCUUCACUCGGGGACUAAGUGAUGGUCUGUGAAGGGCAAGGGACUAUAAAUUUAGGGCUGAAUUUAUAAUUCCUUAAAUGCGCCUAGAGCGGGAUUCUAUGAUGGCUCACUUCAAUCACGGAAUUGAACUUUCUCAGCACAAAGUACCGCACUUGCGUGCAAUUACUGUAACCCACACCUUAGACAUUUUUAGGUGUGCUAUUGCCAGAUACAUGUGAGUCUAAAACAUAGAUUAUUUUGUUUUUCUAAAUCCUAUAUAGAAAAAGCCACCAUAAAUCAAUUUUAUUAAAAAUAUAUGACUGUUAUGACCCUAAUGUUGUUUCUGAAUUUGACAUAUGUGCUUUCUUCCUUUGGUCAAUGUUCAUGCAUUCAACUAUGUCCAAGCUGUGUCAUUAUUCAAGUAACUGGAUUCUCUAUUAUUUAUUAGUAAAAAUCUAAGGUAUGUCUUCACAUCCCUGCUGCAGCCACAAAACAAGAUUCUAAAUGUCAAGUUUUAUGGACAGAAUUUUGUUUUAUGCUAUAUAAAGUGAGUUUUCUCACAAUAAAAGUGUUAUCUUAAUUUAUUUGUCA